CCCCUUAGAGGGCCUCUUAAUUGAGUGUGAUAAUUAAGUAGUUGUUUUAGUGAGUAAACGUUCAGGGAAUAAACCCCUAGAAACUGUAUAGGACAGCGUUUAGCAGCCAUGGAAGCUAAAUGUGCCAUUGUGUACAUACUUCAACAUUACCGCUUCGUUACAUGUAGUGAAACAGAGAUUCCACUCCAGCUUGACAAGUCGGGUUUAUUAAAACCACUUAAUGGAGUAAAAUUAAAGCUGGAAGAGAGAGCUCGGAGUUGAGGAUGUGAUAACAUCAAACUAAGAACAAAACUUGUCUUUUGAGACUUUAUCCAAACGCGUUCAUGUUUAUAUGCAUAUAUAGAGUAUAUGUAUAAUUAAAGGAAUAUUAAAUUAGAACAUGCUUAUACAGUUUAAAUUUUAAUCUAUUAGUAUGUUAAUAACUGAUCAGGAUCACUUAUUGAAAUUAUAGACACAUCAAAAAAUAGGUAUAAUUAUA